rnacentral:rRNA from 1 species
AGAGUUUGAUCAUGGCUCAGAGCGAACGUUAGCGGCGGGCCUAACACAUGCAAGUCGAGCGAGAAAAGGGCUUCGGCCCUGAGUAAAGCGGCGGACGGGUGAGUAACACGUAGGUAAUCUUCCCUUGAGCGGGGGACAACGAGCCGAAAGGCUCGCUAAUACCGCAUAAGUUCCCAAGGUCCUCGGAUCUUGGGAGGAAAGCUAGGUAGCAAUAUCCGGCACUCGAGGAGGAGCCUGCGUAGCAUCAGCUAGUUGGUGGGGUAAUGGCCUACCAAGGCGAAGACGCUUAGCUGGUCUGAGAGGAUGAUCAGCCACACUGAAACUGAGACACGGUUCAGACUCCUACGGGAGGCAGCAGUGGGGAAUAUUGGACAAUGGGCGCAAGCCUGACGAAGCAACGCCGCGUAGAGGAUGAAGGCCCUCGCGGUCGUAAACUCUUGUCUAGCGGGACGAAACUUCUUUACGGAAAUACUGUAGAGGAUUGACUGUACCGCUGGAGGAAGCUCCGGCCAACUCCGUGCCAGCAGCCGCGGUAAUACGGAGGGAGCAAGCGUUACUCGGAAUUACUGGGCGUAAAGGGCGCGUAGGCGUUCUUACAAGUCUUGUGUGAAAGCCCCAAGCCUAACUUGGGAAGUGCACAAGAUACUGAAAGAAUGGAGUUCCGGAGAGGAAGAUGGAAUUCCCGGUGUAGCGGUGAAAUGCGUAGAUAUCGGGAGGAACACCAGUGGCGAAAGCGAUCUUCUGGACGGAUACUGACGCUGAGGCGCGAAAGCUAGGGAGCAAACAGGAUUAGAUACCCUGGUAGUCCUAGCCGUAACAAUGUGUACUUGGUGUAAGCCGGUUUGCGGUUUGUGCCGAAGUUACGCGAUAGUGCACNNU